AAUGAUACCCAGGUAGUCCACGCCGUAAACGAUGAGUGCUAAGUGUUAGAGGGUUUCCGCCCUUUAGUGCUGCAGCUAACGCAUUAAGCACUCCGCCUGGGGAGUACGGUCGCAAGACUGAAACUCAAAGGAAUUGACGGGGGCCCGCACAAGCGGUGGAGCAUGUGGCUUAAUUCGAAGCAACGCGAAGAACCUUACCAGGUCUUGACAUCCCACUGACCGGUAUAGAGAUAUACCUUUCCCUUCGGGGACAGUGGUGACAGGUGGUGCAUGGUUGUCGUCAGCUCGUGUCGUGAGAUGUUGGGUUAAGUCCCGCAACGAGCGCAACCCUUGAUCUUAGUUGCCAGCAUUUAGUUGGGCACUCUAAGGUGACUGCCGGUGACAAACCGGAGGAAGGUGGGGAUGACGUCAAAUCAUCAUGCCCCUUAUGACCUGGGCUACACACGUGCUACAAUGGAUGGUACAAAGGGCUGCAAGACUGCGAAGUCAAGCCAAUCCCAUAAAACCAUUCUCAGUUCGGAUUGCA
rnacentral:rRNA from 1 species